rnacentral:rRNA from 1 species
UGGGGAAUAUUGGACAAUGGGCGAAAGCCUGAUCCAGCCAUGCCGCGUGUGUGAAGAAGGCCUUCGGGUCGUAAAGCACUUUAAGUUGGGAGGAAGGGCUUACAGCGAAUACCUGUGAGUUUUGACGUUACCGACAGAAUAAGCACCGGCUAACUUCGUGCCAGCAGCCGCGGUAAUACGAAGGGUGCAAGCGUUAAUCGGAAUUACUGGGCGUAAAGCGCGCGUAGGUGGCUUGAUAAGUUGGAUGUGAAAUCCCCGGGCUCAACCUUGGAAUGGCACCCGAUACUGGCAGGCUAGAGUACGGUAGAGGGGUGUGGAAUUUCCUGUGUAGCGGUGAAAUGCGUAGAGAUGGGAAGGAACAUCAGUGGCGAAGGCGACUCACUGGACCAAAUACUGACACUGAGGUGCGAAAGCGUGGGGUAGCAAACAGGAUUAGAUACCC